UAGCUUUCAGCUUGGACCAGGCUCUUGCUGCAGAUUUUGAGAAGGAGUUGUGCCCUGGAAACGUGCAGAUGAAAAUGAAAAGAAAAUGUCAUCAUGGUCAGCAUCUUUGAAGAAAUGGGUACUCAAAGAAAUCCUCAUGUAGAGUCACACUGUGCUGUCAUCUGAGACUUCAAGUUCAUUACUGAAUCCAUGCUUCCUCUUCGCAUCGUGAGAAGAUCACUACAGAAGCAUAUCACCACACUUAGCUAGUGGAGAUGUGCAAGUAGCUUCUGGGAACAUGUCCCCAGUUAAUUCUGAUUGGUAAGUAAGAUAAUAUCAGGCAAUAUGUGGGGAUGAGAGACAGCUGCAGGAUUUAAGAUUCCCAGGUUUGGAACCAUGAGGAAGAAGAGGGACACAGAUAUGAAGGACCUGAAUUGUAUGUAGGGGAGGAAAGCAGAACCACGAUGUAAAGGGGCCAGGAGAACAUGGCCCAGAGGACUGCUCAAUUAAGUCAAGAGCAGCCAAAACAUAACAAAGAAAUUCAUAUGUAGUAAUUCAGAGAUCUCUGAGGGAGGUAAAAAACAACAUCAUAGAGGUUAGGCAGUUGUUCAGCUAUUGUGCUACUUAAUUGAUAUUAAAUAUAAAGGCUGUGUGAUUUUCAUUUGGGAACAUAAACCAUUAAAGCAGGUAGUAACCAAUGAGAGAUUAAUUUAAAAAAUAAAACUUCAAAUAUGAUAAUAACUUUGGGCAAGAUAAAUCAACAGAAAACAUGAGCCCAAGCCAAGGCACAAUAAUCAGAGAUCUACUUAUUUGAACACUCAAACAUCCCAUUAUCCCUUAACUGGAUGUCAUAUUACAUUUGAGAAGGUCCUAGUACAUUACCAAAGACCCUGGAAUUUAGCAGUAUACUAUGUAGACACUGACUUGACAUUUUUAUUUUAAUGAAAUUUCUAGGUACUGUCAUCAACAAUUACACCUUGCUGUCAGUUUGGCGACAGAGCCCUAUAGUUUUGGAAACAACUUGGGUUGCUUGGAAAUUUCUGUUCUAUUUAUAACUAAAUUAUAUGUAAACCAAUUCUAGUGCUGAAGCUUUGUUUGGUGGCAAGUAUUGGCCCAUUGAGAGCCAUUAUUUGGUAAUUUCACUUAAAUCUCUCUCUCUCUCUCUCUCUCUCUCCCUCUCUCUCUCUCUCUCUCUCUCUCUCUCUCUCUCUCUCUCUCUCUCUUUCUCUCUCUCACACACGCACACCCACACACACACACACACACAAACACAAACAAACACACAAAACACAAAACAAACACACACACACACAUAUAUCUACACAUAAAUACACACACACACACACACACACACAUAUAUAUAUGUAUAUAUACACAUAAUUCAUAUUGUUUUUAUUGUACUAUGUUUCCCUACUACCCCUUCAGUACCCUUUUAGUGACCUGUUACUUUUAACUUUACCUCUUGUAUUCCUUUCGACAAUCUACCCUCCUCACCCUAGCUGUGUCUCCCUGUUUUCUCUUCCACAAUCUCCUCUCUUCUCCUUUUUCCCACUUGAUUCAAGCUCCAAUCCCAAUUCGUUAGUUUUGUGUAGUCUCUUUCCUCUGUCAAAGUAUGCUGUAUGAAACUUGUAAUUAUCUGUUAUUUUUUUAAAAAAAGGCUAGUAUUUACUUUACAUAAUGAGUAACUUGAAAACAGUAUCUGGGACAUUUUAGAUGGAAGUGGCAACAAUGUGUAACAGAUGAUUUUUUUUAAAAAGGCAGAUAUAAAGAUGUAAAGAUGCAUUUAUUAUCUGUGUAUAUUCAUUUUCCACUUAUGUUUAUGGAAAUUUUUGUAACUAUUAUUUGAAUUAUUUUUUCAUAUCAUGAAAGUGGC
rnacentral:lncRNA from 1 species